rnacentral:rRNA from 1 species
GCUAACGGCUGAACUGGCAACUUGGAGAAGUGGCAAGUCUUCCAGUAUGGGGAGCAAAACAGCUAUGGGUCAAGUCCGAUAUCUUUAGGAGGCGCGAAGCUCCUCUUAUUGUGAGGGCGAGUUUUAUAACACCAUAGGACUGGCCGCCCCAUAUGAAAAGAUUAUAUUAGAAUUGAAUGAAGCUUUGUUUAUAUAUUGAUAAUGACAGUAUAUAUAUCGUGUCUUGACUAAUUGCGUGCCAGCAGUCGCGGUAAUACGUAAGAGACUAGUGUUAUUCAUCUUAAUUAGGUUUAAAGGGUACCCAGACGGUCAAUAUAGCUUAUAAAAUGUUAGUACUUGACUAGAGUUUUAUGUAAGAGGGCAGUACUUGAGGAGGAGAGAUGAAAUUUCGUGAUACCAAAGGGACUCUGUAAAGGCGAAGGCAGCCCUCUAGGUAAAAACUGACGUUGAAGGACGAAGGCACAGAGAACAAACAGGAUUAGAUACCCAAGUAGUCUUUGCAGUAAAUGAUGAAUGCCAUAGGUUAGAUCUGUGUUGGUAGUCUAGUUGAGUUAGUUUACUAAACUAAUGAUCUAUACAAGCCAGCCUUAGAUUUGGUCUAUAAAUGAAAGUGUAAGCAUUUCACCUCAAGAGUAAUGUGGCAACGCAGGAACUGAAAUCACUAGACCGUUUCUGACACCAGUAGUGAAG